AGGAGCAUGGAGCUUCGUUUUCAAAUCCUAGCUUUGCCUGAUAGGAGCUACAUCUCUCAGAUGGAUUCAUUAUAAUCAUGGGACUGUAGGCUUUGAUUCUGAGAAGAUGUUCUAACCCUGGCCUACUUGCUGGUAUCUCAAUUUCAUUUUUCAUGGUGAAAUCACAUUGGUUCUGGUAUUGUCAAGACCAUCUCUCUCUGCAUAUGGCUGCAGAAUAAGAAGGACAAGAAAAGUUUGAGAUGAAUCUGCAUGGACAAUGAAGGAUCUCCUGAAAAACACUCAGGAAAAGAAAAUAUAGAAACGUGCAGAGACAGAAAGAGCAUCAUGUUACCCAGGAGAGGAAAACAGAGAGAGAAGUCUAAGCAUACAGAGAUAGAGUUAGAAAAAUCAAAGACUGUCUGGACUUGAAUUGAGCUACCUACAUCAUCUACCUGGAUUUGUGUUUUCAACUGGAUGCUGUCCUGCAUCCUUGUCUCAAAAAUGAGGAGAGACAUGGCUUUGAUGGAUGGACCACUCAUUGAAUAAGAAAUUGUCUUGAUGGUCACACUGAAAGAGUUGAAGUCAGUGGUUUAAUGUCCAGAUAGAGACUAGAAAUUGCUAGUAUCUCUUCGAAGUCUGCCCUGGGACUAGUAUAAUUUAACAUUUUUGUCAGUGACAUGGACAGUGGGAUUGCACCCCCAACAAGUUUGCUGAUGACACCAAGAAAUCUCAUGUCCUUGAAACCCAUGGGAAAGCCUGGAGCAAAGCAAAUUAACAUGCCAGUAGAGGAAGAUGCAGUUAAGGAAAAUAUGAACCAGUUGUAACUUGUAAACAUGUCGAUGGGACUUGAUUGGAUGCAACCACAAGUGUUGAGUUUUUAGUGCUUUCAGCACUCUGGCCUGUAGCAUCCUUGUUGACAAACUGGUGGAAUAGAGUCUAGAGAAGCUGAUGAUGAGGUAUGAUGAGACAGAUUGAUGAAGCCAGUCCAUCUCUAGAGGUGAACUCAAAAGAACUGGGGCCAGUACUGUUUAAGAUCUUCAUAGAUAUGAUGGAACAUAGUGAAAAUUUUCAGACACAAAGUUGGAAAGAGAAAGCAGUAUACCAAAUGUUUGUGUUACCCUUUAGAAGGACCUCAACAGGCUGGAGAACUGAGCUGUCAGGAUUAUCCUGAAGUUUAAGAAAUGGAAAUGUUAAUUCUUGUCCAGGGAGGAGGAAGCCUCAGGCACUCACACAAAGAAGCUGAGGUCUGAAUAUCUGGAAAGCAGCCUUGCAGAAAAGGUCGUGGGGACCUGGUGGGCACCUAAAGGAACAUGAGACAACAAUGUGUUCUAGAGCAUAUGAGGCCAUCAGCGCCUGGGCUGCACUAUGAAAAAUGUCACAAGCAGAUCAAAGGAGGAAAGAGCUCACCUAUUUCAAGGAUCCUAGUUAAGCCAAAGGCUUUUCUAGGUUUUGUAUUGGUCAAAUGGCUGUAUGAAACCAUGUCUGUGACUGAAAAUGUUUUGUCUCUAAAUUAGCUUUUCAUUUCAGUUUAAUCACUGGGAUAAAAACUUCAUACAAAAGAUUUAAAUAUUUUAAUUCAAUUUUUAAAGCUACUUUAAUUAAAACAAUUAAACCUAAAUAUCUGUAUUAUAGCUUUGUGUCAAAAAAAAAAAUACUACUAGUUCUAUUAAAACUGCUUUUAAGACAGAUUUAGUUAAACAGGGCAAGCAACUUGUACUUGCUCUUAGACAAUUUUAAACUUGAUUAGCUUUGAUUUGAUGAGAAACACUGUAUCUUCAUGAAGGAAGAAUUUAAUGUUAAUCACCUUCAUCUGUCUAAGAGUUCUGAAUGAAGUUCCCACCAUAAUCAGCUGAAAGGGACAGUCAUGUCAGAAAUGAAUCAUUCCACCUGUUCUGGACAUCUGUAUUAGAAUGGAAAAAAUCACCUUUCACUCAUAACUUUCUCUUCGUGUCUUGAAAAUAUAGUAAAGAGAAACAGUUAAGACUAUGCACUGCUUUUACAUUACUAAAAACAGGUGAAGUUUUUUCCAAGCUGAGCAUUUGCACUAGUUCAAUUUAUUUAUAUUUUUGUUAAUUAAAAUGAAUUAAUGUUCAGCAACAUCUGAGAAAGCAACAUUUGCAUAAUAUUUAUGCAGUUAUUGAUCCAUCAGUAUUAUUUAUUAUGAUUUGGUUACCACACAAAGAAUAAUUAUUAUUUUGUUCUUUAAUUUAUCCCUAGAAAAGAGUUUCUCAAGUAAUGCCUGUUUAAAAGUUGUUUCUGCUCUCUUAUUUAAGGAAGGAAAGAGGUGGACAUAACAGUGAGCUCCAUUUUUCUUUCUACAAACAAUAUUAUAAAAUGAGCUCUAGUGGAAAUAAUGCGUACUCAGUGCAGAGAAAUGUUCAUGCUCACCUUCUCUUCUUCAUUGUGCACAAAUAGCUGGAAGGAAGGAAAAAAAUGUUGCUGUGAAUAAAUCCAUUACCCAUGAAGUAUUUUGGGAUGAGAGAAAAGCGUUUUUAAGAAGAAAUGAAGUAAUUGAUUGCAUAUCUAAAGAAACCAGUGAAGGACUAAGCCACAUUACAGUCAAAAACAUAACAUUGCAAGACUGAAAAAUUGCUUUCCUUUUGUUUGUUGAAAUGACAUUGCCUUAUAUAUAUACUUUCAAAAUAUCUCCAGCAGUUUCUUUAACUGCUUUAUCUUUUGUGUGUUGUCUAGCUACAGGAAAUUGGAAAUUGGGCUAUACUGUCCCUUUUACAUUAAUGGUCACAAAUAAGUUUUGUGGCAGUAGUUUUCAUGUCAUCUAAAUGAAGAACAGUAUGGAGAACCAGUUUUUUAUUAUUAUUAUUACUAUUAUUAAUAAUAAUAAUUAAUUUAAUUGAUUUCUUUCUAAUUUCAUGGAAUAUCUUCAUUUUAUUUUGAGAAAAAAAAAAAAAUCAUAGAAUCAUAGAAUCCUAGAAUGGCCUGGUUUGAAAAGGAUCUCAAAGAUCACCUAGUUUCAACACACCUGCCGUGGGCAGGGUUGUCAGCCACUAGACCAGGAUGUCCAGAGCCACAUCCAGCCUGGCCUUGAAUGCCUCCAGGGAUGGGGCAUCCACAACCUCCUUGGGCAACCUGUUCCAGUGCUUCACCACUGUCUGAGUGAAAAAAUUCCUCCUAAUAUCUAAGCUAACCCUCCCCUGACUUUGUUUAAAACCAUUCCCCCUUGUCUUAUCACUAUGCAUUUAUGUAAACAGUCAUUCCCAUUCCUGUUUAUAUGCUCCCUUUAAGUACUGGAAGGCCACAAUGAGGUCUCCCUGGAGCGUUAUCUCCUUCAAGCUAAACAAGUCCAGUUUCCUCAGCCUUUCUUCAUAGGAGAGGUGCUCCAGCCCUCUGAUCUUCUCAGUGCAGUGGUCCUCCUCUGGACCUGUUCCAAGAGAUCUGUGCUGGGGGCCCCAGGCCUGGACGCAGUACUCCAGAUGGGGCCUCACAAGAGCUGAGUAGAUGCAGACAAUCACCUCCCUCUCCCUGCCGGCCACCCUUUUUUUAAUGCAGCCCAGAACACAGUUGCCCUUCCAGACUGUAAGCGCACACUGCUGGCUCAUGUCCAGCUUCUUGUCCACUAGGACCCCCAAGUCCUUCACCACAUGGCUGCUCUCAAGUUCUUCCUUCAUUCUGUAUAAAUACCUGGGAUUGCCCUGGCCCAAGCUUGCACUUGGCCUUGUUGAACCUCAUGAGUUUCACAUGGACCCACUUCUCCACCCUGUCCAGGUUCCUCUGGAUCGUUUUCCUUCCCUCCAAUGUAUUGACUACAUCUCUCAGAAAAUAUACAGCCUACCCUCUCACAGUCUUCUUUGAUGAACUUUAUACUCUGUAUUAUCCUCCUUUUCUAACAGACAUUAACUCUUCCUCGUAUUUUUCACUUGUGUCAUAUUUUUCCAGUGCCAUUUCUGUGAUCAAAUAUCUAAAUUGCUUAGUAGCCAUGUGCAUGGCGGUGACUGCACCAGCUGCCGGGGAUUUCCUUGUCUUUUUCCAUUGCAUGUUUCAAUCCAUAGAAGAAUAUGCCUGCAUGAUAAAAUUAUGUGUUUUACAAAAGGAAAAGGGCACACAUUACUAUAAGUCUGAAAACACUCCUUUGCAGAUUUUUUGAUGAUUUAGGUUAAUGUUACGCAAAGAAUGCCCAGCCCAGUUCUUCCCUAGAGAAUGCAAACCAGUUUUUGCAUCUGUUUUAUUAAGAUGUAAGUUAGGAGAGCUCAGUGCUCCUGACAUUACCUACAUUGAAACGUCAGUACAUUUAUAUUAAAAGAUACUUUCAUAUCAGGUGAUGGUAAAUUCUCUGGAAAUAAGUGGGGCAAUGCUGGUGGAGAAGAUCAACUUCUGAAUUAGGCUCCCUAUUCAUAUUGUCUUCUGGAGACAUCUUUACAGAAUAUGGAGAUUGCUGUUGUCUCAUCCUUUCUCUGUCCCCAGCUCUUUGUGGAGCUUAUGCUCCUGAGAUAUAUUUUUAAAUCUCAUGUAACAUUCUAGACUUUAAUAAUGGCAAUGAAUUGUAUAGAUAUCAAUAAGAUGUACUCAGUAUUAGGGAAAACUGCAUAGUUAUGUUUAGAUGCUGAAAAAUUAAUGGAGGUACUGAGACUUUUCUUGCAAAAAAUAUUUAUCAAUCUUUGCAUUGAUUAACUGAAAGUCUGAAAGUUAUCAA
ensembl:lncRNA